UUUCAGUGAACGGAACGGAAGAACAAAGGGCCGAACCGGGGAGCCGGGGAGGCCCGGGCCGAGAGGGGGUAUAAAAGCCUUUUGAGGAAGGUUGAGAAGAGAGCAUUUCGUCCGAUCGAAGCUCUCAGUUUUCCUCGCCCUCCUCCCUCCCUUCCUCCUUGUCUUGGAGACAAGAAGGCAAUUUGAAAAGAAGAAAAAGGGAAGAGCACUGAAAUCCAAAUAGAUUCUCCUCGAUCUUUCUUGUUCCCUUUCUUUUUUGGUUUCUGAGAAUUCCACUGUUAAUUCUUGUGAGAAAUAGAAUUGAUCGAAGGAGCGGCGAAGAAUUUGAGCUCCAAAGGUUUGCAUUCUGGCACUGUCUUGGAUUUCUGUGGAUUUAUUGGAUUAACUUUUCUAAUUGGAUUAAGAGCCAAUCUGGAGAGAUUCGAGGAUCCAAUCUUUAUCCAGAUAAAAGAUAUUAAGAGUCAAAAUUGGAAAUUGAAGCUUUGUUUCCCCUGGUUGAAGGUACUUCUUAUGUUCUAAUCCAAGCUUCUUUUAAUUCCCUGGUUACUUGAGAUUCUUGCCAUAUUUUCCCCUGUUUUUCUGAUUUAACUGAUAAAAAGAUUCAAUUUCUC
rnacentral:lncRNA from 1 species